AUUGAACGCUGGCGGCAGGCUUAACACAUGCAAGUCGAGCGGAGAUGAGGUGCUUGCACCUUAUCUUAGCGGCGGACGGGUGAGUAAUGCUUAGGAAUCUGCCUAUUAGUGGGGGACAACAUUCCGAAAGGAAUGCUAAUACCGCAUACGUCCUACGGGAGAAAGCAGGGGAUCUUCGGACCUUGCGCUAAUAGAUGAGCCUAAGUCGGAUUAGCUAGUUGGUGGGGUAAAGGCCUACCAAGGCGACGAUCUGUAGCGGGUCUGAGAGGAUGAUCCACCACGCUAGGACUGAGACACGGCCCAGACUCCUACGGGAGGCAGCAGUGGGGAAUAUUGGAGAAUGGGGGGAACCCUGAUCCAGCCAUGCCGCGUGCGUGAAGAAGGCCUUAUGGUUGUAAAGCACUUUAAGCGAGGAGGAGGCUACUGAGACUAAUACUCUUGGAUAGUGGACGUUACUCGCAGAAUAAGCACCGGCUAACUCUGUGCCAGCCGCCGCGGUAACAC
rnacentral:rRNA from 1 species